rnacentral:tRNA from 1 species
GAGAGAGGCCCCGAAGUAGUAAGAACUGCUAACUCCUACACCCCUGGUUAAAAUCCAGGGCUCACUCG